AGCGAACGCUAGCGGCGGGCCUAACACAUGCAAGUCGAGCGCAUACCUUCGGGUAUGAGCGGCGGACGGGUGAGUAACGCGUAGGUCAUCUACCCUUUGGUGGGGGAUAACCCAGGGAAACUUGGGCUAAUACCGCACGAGGUCUACGGAUCAAAGCCUUCGGGCGCCAGAGGAUGAGCCUGCGUCGCAUUACCUAGUUGGCGGGGUAGCGGCCCACCAAGGGGACGAUGCGUAGCUGGUCUGAGAGGAUGAUCAGCCACACUGGGACUGAGACACGGCCCAGACUCCUACGGGAGGCAGCAGUGGGGAAUAUUGCGCAAUGGGGGAAACCCUGACGCAGCCACGCCGCGUGGGUGAUGAAGGCCUUCGGGUUGUAAAGCCCUGUCGGGAGGGACGAAGUUCUUGACGGUACCUCCAAAGAAAGCACCGGCUAACUCCGUGCCAGCAGCCGCGGU
rnacentral:rRNA from 1 species